rnacentral:rRNA from 1 species
CAGUAGCCACGGGAAUACGUAGGUGGCAAGCGUUGUCCGGAAUUAUUGGGCGUAAAGGGCUCGCAGGCGGUUUCUUAAGUCUGAUGUGAAAGCCCCCGGCUCAACCGGGGAGGGUCAUUGGAAACUGGGAAACUUGAGUGCAGAAGAGGAGAGUGGAAUUCCACGUGUAGCGGUGAAAUGCGUAGAGAUGUGGAGGAACACCAGUGGCGAAGGCGACUCCCUGGUCUGUAACUGACGCUGAGGAGCGAAAGCGUGGGGAGCGAACAGGAUUAGAUACCCCCGUAGUCCCUGUCUCUUAUAC